UACGUAGGGUGCAAGCGUUAAUCGGAAUUACUGGGCGUAAAGCGUGCGCAGGCGGUGAUGUAAGACAGUUGUGAAAUCCCUCGGCUCAACUGAGGAACUGCCUUUGAAACUGUCUGGCUUGAGGCCGGGAGGGGGUAGCGGAAUUCCCAGUGUAGCGGUGAAAUGCGUAGAUAUUGGGAGGAACACCAGUGGCGAAGGCGGCUACCUGGACCGGUUCUGACGCUGAUGCGCGAAAGCGUGGGUAGCAAACAGG
rnacentral:rRNA from 1 species